rnacentral:rRNA from 1 species
GAUGAACGCUGGCGGCGUGCCUAAUACAUGCAAGUCGAGCGAACAGACGAGGAGCUUGCUCCUCUGACGUUAGCGGCGGACGGGUGAGUAACACGUGGAUAACCUACCUAUAAGACUGGGAUAACUUCGGGAAACCGGAGCUAAUACCGGAUAAUAUAUUGAACCGCAUGGUUCAAUAGUGAAAGACGGUUUUGCUGUCACUUAUAGAUGGAUCCGCGCCGCAUUAGCUAGUUGGUAAGGUAACGGCUUACCAAGGCAACGAUGCGUUGCCGACCUGAGAGGGUGAUCGGCCACACUGGAACUGAGACACGGUCCAGACUCCUACGGGAGGCAGCAGUAGGGAAUCUUCCGCAAUGGGCGAAAGCCUGACGGAGCAACGCCGCGUGAGUGAUGAAGGUCUUCGGAUCGUAAAACUCUGUUAUUAGGGAAGAACAAAUGUGUAAGUAACUAUGCACGUCUUGACGGUACCUAAUCAGAAAGCCACGGCUAACUACGUG